GAAAUGCGAUAAGUAAUGUGAAUUGCAGAAUUCCGUGAAUCAUCGAAUCUUUGAACGCACAUCGCGCCCUCUGGUAUUCCGGGGGGCAUGCCUGUCCGAGCGUCAUUGCGAACCCCUCAAGCACGGCUUGUGUGAUGGGCCCUCCCGCGUCUUGGUCGUCAAGACGGGCCCGAAAUGCAGUGGCGGCUUCGCGGUUAUCCGAUCAGCCAGAGCGUAUGGGGACUUUCUCUCUGUCACACGCCCGCGGCGCGGACCGACGCCUGUCGACCUUCAUUCAUCGUUUUCUCGGUUGACCUCGGAUCAGGUAGGGAUACCCGCUGAACUUAAGC
rnacentral:misc_RNA from 1 species